CCAGGUCAGGCGGGAUUACCCGCUGAGUUUAAGCWUWUCAAUAAGC
rnacentral:rRNA from 1 species